GUUCGGCUCGACUCUCCCACCCUUUGGUGAACGUACCUCUGUUGCUUUGGCGGCUCCGGCCGCCAAAGGACCUCCAAACUCCAGUCAGUAAACGCAGACGUCUGAUAAACAAGUUAAUAAACUAAAACUUUCAACAACGGAUCUCUUGGUUCUGGCAUCGAUGAAGAACGCAGCGAAAUGCGAUAAGUAAUGUGAAUUGCAGAAUUCAGUGAAUCAUCGAAUCUUUGAACGCACAUUGCGCCCCUUGGUAUUCCGGGGGGCAUGCCUGUUCGAGCGUCAUUACAACCCUCAAGCUCUGCUUGGAAUUGGGCACCGUCCUCACUGCGGACGCGCCUCAAAGACCUCGGCGGUGGCUGUUCAGCCCUCAAGCGUAGUAGAAUACACCUCGCUUUGGAGUGGUUGGCGUCGCCCGCCGGACGAACCUUCUGAACUUUUCUCAAGGUUGACCUCGGAUCAGGUAGGGAUACCCGCUGAACUUAAGCAUAUCAAUAAGGCGGAGGAA
rnacentral:rRNA from 1 species